GGGGAAUUUUCCGCAAUGGGCGAAAGCCUGACGGAGCAAUACCGCGUGAGGGAGGAAGGCUCUUGGGUUGUAAACCUCUUUUCUCAGGGAAUAAGAACUGAAGGUACCUGAGGAAUCAGCAUCGGCUAACUCCGUGCCAGCAGCCGCGGUAAUACGGAGGAUGCAAGCGUUAUCCGGAAUGAUUGGGCGUAAAGCGUCCGCAGGUGGUUUAUCAAGUCUGCUGUCAAAGAGUUUGGCUCAACCAAAUAAAGGCAGUGGAAACUGACAGACUGGAGUGCGGUAAGGGCAGAGGGAAUUCCUGGNUGUAGCGGUGAAAUGCGUANAGAUCAGGAAGAACACCGGUGGCGAAAGCGCUCUGCUGGGCCGUAACUGACACUGAGGGACGAAAGCUAGGGGAGCGAAUGGGAUUAGAUACCCCAUAGUC
rnacentral:rRNA from 1 species